CCUGACUUUGAGUGUUUGGUGAGCAGAGUUGAUAGCUGCUGGGUCGGUGUUCAUUUUGGUUUUAUGACAUUUAUUAGAUGUUUUCAACUACUCCAUUUUAAUAAUACAGAACAUACCACUUUUAUAGUGUGAACCAGAAACCCAACACCCUGGUAGAAGUGUGGAGUUUAGUGCACAUACACUGCCUGCCUGAUAUUGUGUGUGUUUGAGCUUCAAAGCUCUGGUUGUAGCCCUGAAGUGCUCUGUGUGAUUGGUGACCAGUAGUAGCCGUUUCAGGACCGCCCAGAGGCUAGAGAAUCUCACACAACUUGAAAAUCUUCGCAGAAUGACAACCCUUUUCUUUACUGGACCAAAUUGAUCA